rnacentral:piRNA from 1 species
UGGGCCUUGGUUUUGAGAAGGAACCG